UCUUUUAUUACCUCUAAUAACUAGUAUUUACUCAGUCACUGCUUGGUAGCUUGUACUCGAGUUGAUUUUGUGCGCAUUUUUAGGUUAGUUUUUUGAGUGUUAGUGGUGUAGAACUUUGAAAACUAAUUGCUUGAUGCUAUAUUAUUUUUGAUAAUACAAGGAUACUGGUAAGUUAUGAUGACCAUAGAAAAAACAGAAGACAUUCAAUUUAGGGUAGAUAAUGUGGUGAGAGAAGAAACAAAUGGAUUGAAACCGAACUCAAGCCGAUGAAGCAAUAAAAACUAAAGUUGUACAAACUUACAUCCACAUAUUUAUUAUUUUCCUUAUUCAGCUUCUUGCAUUGUAUAUUUGCAUUAUUCUUAAAAUAUUUAUUUUGUAUUGCUGUUUCUGUGCAGUAGGCCUUUUCAGACCUAGCAUAGCAAAUAAACGUACAAUCUUCUU